ACACUGGCUGGCUCCAGAGAAAACAAAUUUGCCAUCUUGUGAGAGUGUUAAGAAUCUGUCAGAUGGUGUUGCCUCGGAACCUCUGUAUUUCAGGGACAUUUUAUGAAGCGGUUCACCUUCAGCACUGAUGUCAUCACCCCCUGUUUGGGGAUUGGAGAAGGAUUAAUGAAAACAGAGGAGAGUUCUGGUAGAAGAUAAAACUACAAAAUUUCUAUUUACUGCCAAGGAAAAGCAUCCAGAAGCUGUCACCUUCUGAGACUAUGGCCCAUCCUGGAACUAACUUCGGCUGAGCAGUGCGUUUUAGGAUUUCUCUCUGUUCCUACCUUGAUCCCUCGUUUCUGAGAGUGGAGUCCCUGGAGCAUUCUGUACAGGUGGAGAGUGUUUAUGUGUUUGGGGCUAUCAAUCACCAAUUCUAGAGAUGUAAAGGUCUAAAUUAAGAUAGAUGAAAAUGUGAUGAGGUAAAUUCCCUCCCCAAAUGCUCCCCCAAAGCCCCAUGGAAACCAAGGACUUGGCUUUGAAAGUGGUGGAGGAGAAAGAAAAGGCACCCAGCAAGCACUCUUUGCUUUCAGAGGCAGGUGCAGCUCGGGGUUGGCAGGGCCACCACGCUCCUGUCUAAGCUCCACGCCUGACAGAUACGAUCAUCAGACACGUCUUAUAUCCAGUUGCCCUUUCUCAACUGUAUAUCAUUGAGGUGAUGAGUAGGCUGAACUCCCUAAACUAAAAAUGAGUAAAUUAUAAAGUUCAUUUUCAGUUGUAGAGAACUGAUGCUCCACAGAGAGAAGUUGCACCCAAUAAAUCCCCAACAGAGCUUCA